GAUGAACGCUGGCGGCGUGCCUAAUACAUGCAAGUCGAGCGAACAGACGAGGAGCUUGCUCCUCUGACGUUAGCGGCGGACGGGUGAGUAACACGUGGAGAACCUACCUAUAAGACUGGGAUAACUUCGGGAAACCGGAGCUAAUACCGGAUAACAUGUUGAACCGCAUGGUUCAACAGUGAAAGACGGUCUUGCUGUCACUUAUAGAUGUAUCCGCGCCGCUUUAGCUAGUUGGUAAGGUAACGGCUUACCAAGGCAACGAUGCGUAGCCGACCUGAGAGGGUGAUCGGCCACACUGGAACUGAGACACGGUCCAGACUCCUACGGGAGGCAGCAGUAGGGAAUCUUCCGCAAUGGGCGAAAGCCUGACGGAGCAACGCCGCGUGAGUGAAGAAGGUCUUCGGAUCGUAAAACUCUGUUAUUAGGGAAGAACAAAUGUGUAAGUAACUAUGCACGUCUUGACGGUACCUAAUCAGAAAGCCACGGCUAACUACGUG
rnacentral:rRNA from 1 species